rnacentral:ncRNA from 2 species
UCCCCCGAGGAGCGUUGCAGCGGACAAGCCUGGCACCCAGAUUGCCAGGCAACCAUCCGUCAGGCUCGGGGCCGACCACCCCGCAACGACGCUCACCUGUU